AACUGUGUAUUAAAGUACGAGUUCACAUAUAUUACAACAACUGCCUUUGACAAUAACCGCCUUUGAGAGUGCCAUUAGGCUGUGUAUUAAAGUACAACGAGUAAACCAAUCAUAUUUGGACACGAGAUUCAUACAACGAGUGAACCAAUAAGAUUGCAUGUGACAUGUGCCAAUAAAAGAGCCGGACAUUUCCGGGCCACGUUACAGUAUUCCGUUGGAUUGACGUGUGAUCGCUCGGCUUGGUUCCUUGGAUUCUCAGACCUGGAGUGAGGGCUCUCCACUCAUUGUCAACAGGUAGGAGCUUGAUUCAUUACCAGGGAACUUGUUGUGCUUUAACUGUGGCGUGGGGGUGUUAGCUUUGACAACUAUACAUCUAGCGCCAUUGUUUCUUGUACUUGUGUGUGUUUUAACUGCAUCGUGGGGGUUCUAAACGUUAUCAGUGACAACCUAGACCUAGCGCCAUGGUUAUUCUGUGUUAUGCUUGUUUUUUUUCCCUUCUGCUUGCCUUUGUGGGAUUGUGACCAAUAAACUUCUUUCAUUUGCAAUUUCUAAUCAAUAAACAUUGUCUAUUUUGCAAAAGUGUGCCUGUUGCUGACCCACUGCGAACCUGAAACGAAAUUUCUUUUGCAAAAGUGUGACCCGGAAAUUUCGUAAACAUUUCGUAAAACACAUUACCUUACAAAAAUAUUGAUAAUGAUAAGUUGUUUUUGUUUCCCAUCAUACUUGAGGGGAAUUCUAAAUCAGGCUGCUUAGGCAAUACUUUUCGCCAACAUCGUCAACCACUGAAUAUGUAUGGUACGCCCGCCAGUGUCGUGCCAAUGUAGUUAUCCCAGUCCAAAAUUGUACCCCCUGGGUGGAGCCAUAUGGAGGUAGAUUUUUGUCUUUAUUAUUCAAUUAAAAAAAAGUUGCUUCAAUAAAAAAAAUAAAGUUGCUUCAAUUAAAAUAUAUAUUUUCAAUAAAAAAAGUUGCUUCAAUUAAAAAAAAUAAAUAAAUUUGAAACAAAAAAAAAAUGCACGUGGAAGCUAUUUUUCUUUGAUUUUUUUUUUUUUUUCGGAUUGGAGUCAAGUUUUUGUUAUUUAAGCAACUUUUUUAAUUGAAGUAAUGUUUAUAUGUGUUUGGGCCACAUUUGGGCUAGGACGUUUUUGUCUUCAUUAUUCAAUCAAAAAAUAAGUUGCUUCAAAAAAUAUUUAUUUUCAGAAAGAAAAAUCACUUCAAAUCAAAAAAAGAAAAAUGUCAAUCAUAUAAAACAUUUAUGAAUGCGCGGAAAUAUUUGAGAUUGAAAAAUUUGCAUACGAACACUUAAUUUUCAUUGAAAAAGUUUCUUUGAAGCAAUCUUUUUUGUGUUUGGGCCAUAAUAUGUGUAGGGCAUUUUGUCUAAAUCCUUUAAUCCUAAAAAAGGUUGCUUCAAUCAAAAAAAUAUUUGCAAUCAAAGAAAAAAAUAAAAAUAAAAUAAAAUUGCCAUCCCCUAGUUUUUCUUUUUGGGGGGAGGGGGAUUACAUGCAAAGCAAAUGACCGUCUGAGGUGCGAGUCUCAUGAUCAGUUUGAAAAAUAAUUUUGACCCAUAAUAAAAAUAUAUAUUUUCUGUUCAUUUUUAUUGCAGUUUUAUUGCUUUACAACAUUUUAUAUACCGGUACAUAUAGGAAAGUCAAUUAUAUACAAUGACACUUUUCAGCCACCAGAGGGCGGGACUCCAUAACUCGACUUAUGUAUUACGGUGCAUUAUUCAUAUUGAACUUUUCCGAUAUAGGCCGUCAGGUCACCUAUCCUUUCGUUCAGUUUCGCUCCACUACCAGGGGCACUAAAUAUUAUUUUCUUCAUAAAAUAGAUUUAUUAGUUCUAAGUAAGAAUCCGUGGAGUUCACCCUCUGAAAACGUGCCAAUUUUUUGUUCUCGAUGGUGAAACCCCGGGAGUAUUUUGCGUUGAGGCGCAUUGAUCUCUGGUGUGGGUGUAGUGCCAUUAGGUCGGGAGUGGUGUGAUUUUGGUCACAUGAGCCUAUCAGGUAGCCGCUUUCUCCUCACCAUAACAACCAGAUAUCAACAAUGGCGACUACAACAUCGGAGAGUGAAGAAGAGUGAAUGGAGAAAAAAAGUUAAAAAGAGAGUGCAGAAAGUGGGAAAUAAACGAUGCUACAUGCAUCUUUUUUCCGUGAAGAAUGAGGACGUCUUGGACUUCACUUAUCAACGGUGGAACACGAACAGAACCUGCUUAAAAAGUGGCUUUGUCUUCAUGGCGCUAACAAGUACCUUGCAGAAAUAUACCAACAUUGCGUGGAUAUGGAUUUUGAAAAUAUUCCUGACGACGCUGGAUUCAACACUACAUGCUACCAGCGUGUUACUGAUAAACAGAAAUUGUUCAAGGCGAGCCAUUCUGACCCCCCUGCGAGUACUAGCGAAGUUGCAGAAGCGUCUGAAACUCCCAGCAAAAAACUUUGUUCCUGUUCUGGUUUGCCCAUCGCUUCUGCUGGCCCUGUCCUUCCAGCCAUCUGCAUCAUUUGUAAAAAAAAAAAAAAAAAAAAAAAGUUUCAAAGUAUGCUCGUUUGGGAUCGGAAGGCAAACGGCAGAGGGAUCAUCUCGCCAAAGCAGAGACAUUGUCGGCAGGUAUGUGCAUCACACACACGCGCCCAUUUUUUUUUUAACAAUAUGACCGAUAUUUAUUAAUGGACUGAAAAUAAUUUGUUGUUAAUUUUAAGGCUAUAGUUUAGUAAAAACGUGAGCUGCUGAAUGAUUUAUCGAGUGAAUCCAGCAGUGGUUACUAAACUCGGGUUAGCUGUGCCCCUCACAGUCAUAGAUCACAGCUACAACCCCCCACCAACCUCAACAAACCCUUUACUUUUAAAUCUGUGAUGCGCAUAUACUGUGCAAAGCGGUGAUGUGACAAUAAUACUUAUUAUAAUUCUUUUUUGUGUAAAGGCCGGUUGCUGCAGGCAGCAGAGAUGAAGAAAGACUCUUCAAUCCUUCUACAUAUCAAAGACAAAGACUGUGUUGCAAUGGAGGUGCGAUACCAUAAAUCCUGUUACUGAGAUUACACCAGGUUCCUAACCAAGUCAACAGCAACAGAAACUGCAACGAGGGACGAAGAAAUUAUGUGUGUUUCAGACAACCCUAUGCUGAGAGCUACAAACUCUUUUGAGAACAAGUGGUCCGUCAAAGGAUUAUCGUUGACAAAGAAGUGCUCAGAAUGGACAAGCUAAGAAGGUUGUUCGUGAACACCAUGAAGAACCAUGAGGAUCUUGAUGCUUCAGACUACAGGUAGGUUUUGCUGAAAAGAAGAUUGAAGCGUGAUUUCCCCCAGUUGGUUUUUCACACCCCUUUCCAGCGCACCAUGUCUGAAAUGGUUUUUUUUUUUUUGAGACAUUAUCAACAACAGACAAACUUUUAGACAGGAUACCUGAGUCAUUGGGUACAUUAGCAACCAAAUCUACUGAGGUAAGCCAAGAAAGUGACACUCAACAAAUGGCUAGCACAACAUCUGGUUGGAAAACCAGCUCUUGGCCCAAGUGUUUGUUCAACCCUCAUUGGCAUCCAUACAUUCACAGGUUGUGACUCGACCAGUGCCUUUCACGGCAAGGGCAAAACAAAGACAUUUUCUCUUGCAUGUCAGCAAGAAGAAUACCUGACUGCGUUUACAGAUCUAGGUAGUAGUUUUAACCCUUUAACACCGAACGUGUCGGAUGCGACACGUUUACGCUAUCAUCUUUGAAGCCUCGUAACGCUGUAAAUACGUCACCCACGUGCCCCUGGUUGCUCUCGUUUGAAAGUACGGAAGUUGAUGUCCACACCAGUUUUUAUUUGAAGUCAAUCGACAAAGUAAAACGGGAGAUAAUUUCAUUUGAUUAUCUAUCAAAACAUGCAUUAAACAAGUAGUGCCCAGACAGUGGAACGAAACUCAUUUUCUAGGCACUUUUUCAGGGUCCACCCCAAGGCCUAAUAGCUGAGCCAAAUAACUACAUUGUUUUCACAUUAUACGGUACCCACUCUGAUCAUACUCCUUCCCUCACUACUCCUUAACGAAGCUGCGAACGUUCAUCAAUGGCAGAGAACCUGUGACCGGAAUCAUUAUUCAAUGCCAGCUUCACGCUCAGGAAGGAAUAUCACCUCUCUUCAUCGUGGUUAGCGAGACCAUUCACUUUAGAAACACAUUUCUCAAGUCAAGAACUAUAGAAAUGAUCCCUGAAAGUAUAGUCUUGUUUGAUCAGUGGUCGAUGACGGCAACUCAUCUGUGAGAAUACUAUUUUCACCCAGAGGGCACGCUGAUAAAGACAUGUUGAUGACCCCGAAACGCAGUGCCAGCAAAAAAAUUACCUUACAAAAAUAUUUAAAAUAAUAAUUUGUUUUUCUUUCCCAUCAUUGUUGAGGGGAAUUCUAAAUCAGGCUGCUUAGGCAAUACUUUUCGCCAACCAUUGAAUAUGGUACGCCCGCUGGUGUCGUGCCAAUGUAGUUACCCCAGUCAAAAAAUGUACCCUCUGGGUGGAGCCAUACGGAGGUAGAUUUUUGUCUUUAUUAUUCAAUCAAAAAAAGUUGCUUCAAUUUUUAAAAAAAAUGUGUUUUUGAAUGCAAAAAUAAAUUUGAAACAAAAAAAAAAAAUGCAUAGUAAAAAUUAUUUUUCUUUGAAUUUUUGGGGGGAUUGGAGUCAAGUUUUUGUUAUUUAAGCAACUUUUUUAAUUGAAGUAAUGUUGAUAUGCGUUUGGGCCACAUCUUGGCUAGGACGUUUUUGUCUUCAUUAUUCAAUCAAAAAUAAGUUGCUUCAAAAAUAUAUAUUUUCAGAAAGAAAAAUCACUUACAAUCAAAAAAAAAGAAAAAUGUCAAUCAUAUAAAACAUUUAUGAAUGCGCAAAAAUAUUUGAGAUUGAAAAAUUUGCAUACGAACACUUAAUUUUCAUUGAAAAAGUUUUCUUUGAAGCAAUCUUUUUUGUGUUUGGACCAUAUAAUGUGUAGGGCAUUUUGUCUAAAUCAUUUAAUCCUAAAAAAGGAUGCUUCAAUCAAAAAAAUAUAUGCAAUCAAAGGAAUAAUAAAAACUGCAAUACCCCUAGUUUUUCUUUUUUUGUGAAAAUUAUAUGCAAAGCAAAUGACCGUCUAAGGUGCGAGUCGCAUGAUCAGUUUGAAAAAUAAUUUUGACCCUCAAUAAAAAUAUAUAUUUUCUGUUCGUUUCAUUCAUUUUUAUUGCAGUUUUAUUGCUUUAAAACAUUUUAUAUACCGGUACAUAGAAGAAAGUCAUUUACAUACGAUGACACUUUUCAGCCAUCAGGGGGCGGGACAUAUAUGUAUUACAGUGCAUUAUACAUAUUGAAGUUGUACAACAAUCUAGCCGAACCAUUACUUUGAUUUCACAUUGUACGGUAACCACUCUGAUCAUAUUCCUUCCCUUACUGCUCCUUAACAAGGUAGCGAACGUUCAUCAAUGGCAGAGAACCUAUGACCGGAAUCAUUAUUCAAAGCCAGCUUCACGCUCAGGAAGGAAUAUCACCUGUCUUCAUUGUGGUUAGCGAGACCAAUCACUUUAGAAACACAUUUCUCAAGUCAAAAACUAUAGAAAUGAUCCCUGAAAGUAUAGCUUUGCCUGAUCACCGUUCGAUGACGGCAACUCAUCUGUGGGAAAACUAUUUUCACUCAGAGGGUACGCUCCUAAUGACAUUUAUUCAAACCUCAAUUACAUGAUCAGAUAAUUUUACUUAUUUCUAGUAGAGUUCCGCUGAAAUCAAGGGAAUUUAACCAGUAACUUUAAGGAGGUUUGCAUCGUGUUUUUGCAGUGCAAUUCUGUAUUUUUGUAUUAUAGGUGGAGUUUUACUUUUUUUUUUGUUUUGUUUUG